rnacentral:rRNA from 1 species
UACGAAGGGGGCUAGCGUUGCUCGGAAUGACUGGGCGUAAAGGGCGCGUAGGCGGCUCAUACAGUCAGGCGUGAAAUUCCUGGGCUCAACCUGGGGACUGCGCUUGAGACGUGUGGGCUUGAGUGGGGAAGAGGGUCGUGGAAUUCCCAGUGUAGAGGUGAAAUUCGUAGAUAUUGGGAAGAACACCGGUGGCGAAGGCGGCGACCUGGUCCUUGACUGACGCUGGAGGCGCGAAAGACCGUGGGGAGCGAAACAGG